CUUAGCUAGUGGGACGCGGGCUCCUCCUUUCCAGAAAAACGGGGUUCUUUUGGCCACCCCUGCUCUUGCUCAAGCCAGGCUUCCCCCAGGGCGCCUUCCUCCCCCAGCCAGGUCUCACCCAGGCUGACUUUAACUCCUCGCCGAGAGAGACCGUCCCUGCUUCUUACACUGGGCAGAACAGACUAAGUAACAGUCUGUAAGAAGCAAAGCGCUGGGGGUAGCGCCGUGGUAGCGCGCCUGCCCGGCGUGUCCAAGCCCCUGGGUGCCAUCCCCAGCGACAGCCAAAGUCCAGGUUGUGGUGUGACACGAACGCAUUCGGUGUUUAGACUUGGGUCCCAUCCCCGUGCAGAUACUCCAGACUCUGAAAAAGUCUCAAACCCAAACGCUUCCUUUAGUUUUAAUCUGUAUUAGUACACGUUUGCAGUACCUUCAGUCACCUUCAGUGACCUUCAUCGGGACUUGGUGUGAGUGUCGGUAUUGUGUCUUAGUGAGGUGAAAGUAACGAAGACAAAGUGGAGAGCUGUGGAGCAAUAUGUUUGGAGAACAAAAGGAUAUGAUCUACUGGUGAUAAACCCAUGGAGGCGGGGAGAGGAAAGCUGCUGGCUCCAGUUCUUCUGCGUCCCAGAGACAAGGCCAUUCCUCUUCUGCAGGUGUGCGUCACCAUGCCUGGCUUCCCCGCCGUCCAGAGGAACAGCCUGCAGUUGGGAGACAGCGGAAUGAGCACCCGGAAGGUGCAGUGUGUCCUAGGCUGGUUGCACAUCUGGACAUCCACUCAAGAGAAGAGUCCGAUGGCGAUGGAACUUAGAGUGUUUGACAAACGCCUGGACACGUGCAGUGGAGGCAGGACUGGAGCAGGUGCGAUCAGGUUGGCUUGGCCCUGUAAACCCCGACCUAGGCGGUGCAGCCACCCAGUUGAGUCACAGAGCUCCACCCUCUUCCGCCCAGGCUCUGCAGGGUGACCCUGGCCAGGUAGGAGGCAGCCAGGGUCCCAGCCCAGCCAAAGGCUGCUCGGGCUUCUUUCCGGGCUGGAAGGACAAGAGGGCUCAGCUCCCUGUCUGCAGCAUGUGCCGUGGACCCUGCUCCUCGCCACCCCGAGGGGCCCAGCCAUCCCUGCUCACCGCCCCUGGUUUUGCCUCUGAGAGUCCCUCCCUGUGAGCUUGAGCUCUGCUCUCUGCCAGAGCUUCGCUAACCGUCUACACCCUGAGUUAAAGCACAGGGGGUUUGUAUGUAGUUUUGUUGUUGUUGCCGUGUUUUGAGACAGGGUCUCACUAAGUCGCUGAACUGCCCAAGUUAGGCCCUAACUUGAAAUCCUCCUGCCUCAGCCUCCCAGAGUACUGGGAUUACAGGCCUGCACCUCUACAUCUGGCUCGAUUUUCUUUGUUUAAGCCUGUCUGUUCAACCCCAAAGAUACACCCCUCUCAUGUCCAUGCUGUCAUGAUGGCCCCAUCUGGUCCCUCCCUGUUGUCUCUCCCUCCUUUUCCCUCUUUCCUUUGUCUCUCCCCAUUUUCUGGUAUUCCUGGGAUUGUUUUUCUUGCUCUCUUUCCAUUUCUGUCAUGUUCACAAACUGCUUAAAAAUGUCUCCCGAUUUCUGAGGAAAUGCAUACAAACUCUCACCCUCCCACCCCACACCACAAAAUAAAACUGACCGUGGAAGAACCUGCCCUCGGGGAAAACUGUGCUGCUGCCUUAAUAAUGCUGAAUCCUCUUGCUGUAACUUGGAUCUACAAACCCUAACCCGGGGACGGGGCUUGGCAGUAACAAAGGCUGCAGAAGGAAAUGCACACUGAUGAAGAAAUCCGUUUCGUUUACAGGGGCGCAGCUCCGUGGUAGACUGCUGCCUCGUGGGCCCAGUGCCUGGGUUCCAUCUCCAGCACCACAAUUUUUUUUUAAAAGACACAAUAAAAUUUCAAUGCAGGUCAUGCAGAGUGCACACCUGCAAUCCCAGCACUCUGGGAGGCUGAGGCACGGGGAUCCAAAACUCAAAUCCAGCCUAGGCAACUUAGGGAGAUCCUGUAUCAAAGGUAAAAAUAGGGCGGGG
rnacentral:lncRNA from 1 species